rnacentral:rRNA from 1 species
GACGAACGCUGGCGGCGUGCUUAACACAUGCAAGUCGAACGGAAAGGCCCCUUUGGGGGUACUCGAGUGGCGAACGGGUGCGUAACACGUGAGUAACCUGCCCUUGACUUCGGGAUAACUUCAGGAAACUGGGGCUAAUACCGGAUAGGAAUCCUUGCUGCAUGGUGGGGGUUGGAAAGCUUCGGCGGUUUUGGAUGGACUCGCGGCUUAUCAGCUUGUUGGUGGGGUAGUGGCUUACCAAGGCUUUGACGGGUAGCCGGCCUGAGAGGGCGACCGGCCACAUUGGGACUGAGGUACGGCCCAGACUCCUACGGGAGGCAGCAGUGGGGAAUAUUGCACAAGGGGCGGAAGCCUGAUGCAGCAACGCCGCGGGCGGGAUGACGGCCUUCGGGUUGUAAACCGCUUUCAGCAGGGGCGAAGCUUGUGGUGACGGUACCUGCAGAAGAAGCACCGGCUAACUACGUG